rnacentral:tRNA from 1 species
UCCCUGGUGGCUCAGACGGUAAAGCGUCUGACUCCAAUGCAGGAGACCCAGGUUCAAUCCUGGGUCAGGAAG